GCUCGUCCGCUCCCUCCCCCGCGCCGUGCACGUCUUGGUUCGGGCCGGGCAUAAAAGGCUUCGCGGCCCAGGGCUCACUUGGCGCUGAGAACGCGGGUCCACGCGUGUGAUCGUCCGUGCGUCUAGCCUUUGCCCACGCAGUUUGUCCCGCUGGCUGGAAGCCUGGCAGUGACACGAUUAAGCCCAACGUGGAUGACAGCAAGGAAUAUUUCUCCAAACACAAUUAGGCUGGCUAACGGAUAGUGAGCUUGUGCCCCUGCCUAGGUGCCUGUGCUGGGUGUCCACCUGUGCCCCCACCUGGGUGCCCUAUGCUGACCCAGGAAAGGCCAGACCUGCCCCUCCAAACUCCACAGUAUGGGACCCUGGAGGGCUAGGCCAAGGCCUUCUCAUGCCUCCACCUAGAAGCUGAAUAGUGACGCCCUCCCCCAAGCCCACCCAGCCGCACACAGGCCUAGAGGUAACCAAUAAAGUAUUAGGGAAAGGUGUG
rnacentral:lncRNA from 10 species